UACGAAGGGGGCUAGCGUUGCUCGGAAUCACUGGGCGUAAAGCGCACGUAGGCGGCGUUUUAAGUCAGGGGUGAAAUCCUGGAGCUCAACUCCAGAACUGCCUUUGAUACUGGGAAGCUUGAGUCCGGGAGAGGUGAGUGGAACUCCGAGUGUAGAGGUGAAAUUCGUAGAUAUUCGGAAGAACACCAGUGGCGAAGGCGGCUCACUGGCCCGGUACUGACGCUGAGGUGCGAAAGCGUGGGGAGCAAACAGG
rnacentral:rRNA from 1 species